UAGGGAAUCUUCGGCAAUGGGGGCAACCCUGACCGAGCAACGCCGCGUGAGUGAAGAAGGUUUUCGGAUCGUAAAGCUCUGUUGUAAGUCAAGAACGAGUGUGAGAGUGGAAAGUUCACACUGUGACGGUAGCUUACCAGAAAGGGACGGCUAACUACGUGCCAGCAGCCGCGGUAAUACGUAGGUCCCGAGCGUUGUCCGGAUUUAUUGGGCGUAAAGCGAGCGCAGGCGGUUUGAUAAGUCUGAAGUUAAAGGCUGUGGCUCAACCAUAGUUCGCUUUGGAAACUGUCAAACUUGAGUGCAGAAGGGGAGAGUGGAAUUCCAUGUGUAGCGGUGAAAUGCGUAGAUAUAUGGAGGAACACCGGUGGCGAAAGCGGCUCUCUGGUCUGUAACUGACGCUGAGGCUCGAAAGCGUGGGGAGCGAACAGGAUUAGAUACCCUGGUAGUCCACGCCGUAAACGAUGAGUGCUAGGUGUUGGAUCCCUUCCGGGAUUCAGUGCCGCAGCUAACGCAUUAAGCACUCCGCCUGGGGAGUACGACCGCAAGGUUG
rnacentral:rRNA from 1 species